UACGAAGGGGGCUAGCGUUGCUCGGAAUGACUGGGCGUAAAGGGUGCGUAGGCGGGUCUUUAAGUCAGGGGUGAAAUCCUGGAGCUCAACUCCAGAACUGCCUUUGAUACUGAAGAUCUUGAGUUCGGGAGAGGUGAGUGGAACUGCGAGUGUAGAGGUGAAAUUCGUAGAUAUUCGCAAGAACACCAGUGGCGAAGGCGGCUCACUGGCCCGAUACUGACGCUGAGGCGCGAAAGCGUGGGGAGCAAACAGG
rnacentral:rRNA from 1 species